CAAAAGGUAGUUUAAAUAAAAUAUUAGUUUUGGGGAUUAUUGAUGAGUUCAUACUUUCUUUUGA
rnacentral:tRNA from 1 species